rnacentral:rRNA from 1 species
GGGAUCGUAAAGCUCUGUUGUUGGUGAAGAAGGAUAGAGGCAGUAACUGGUCUUUAUUUGACGGUAAUCAACCAGAAAGUCACGGCUAACUACGUGCCAGCAGCCGCGGUAAUACGUAGGUGGCAAGCGUUGUCCGGAUUUAUUGGGCGUAAAGCGAGCGCAGGCGGAAUGAUAAGUCUGAUGUGAAAGCCCACGGCUCAACCGUGGAACUGCAUCGGAAACUGUCAUUCUUGAGUGCAGGAGAGGAGAGUGGAACUCCAUGUGUAGCGGUGGAAUGCAUAGAUAUAUGGAAGAACACCAGUGGCGAAGGCGGCUCUCUGGUCUGCAACUGACGCUGAGGCUCGAAAGCAUGGGUAGCGAACAGGAUUAGAUACCCUGGUAGUCCAUGCCGUAAACGAUGAGCGCUAGGUGUUGGGGACUUUCCGGUUCUCAGUGCCGCAGCAAACGCAUUAAGCGCUCCGCCUGGGGAGUACGACCGCAAGGUUGCAACUCAAAUGAAUUGACGGAAUA